rnacentral:tRNA from 1 species
CGGGACGUGGCGAAGUUUGGUAUCGCGCUUGCUUUGGGAGCAAGAUGCCGCUGGUUCAAAUCCAGUCGUCCCGACCA